rnacentral:misc_RNA from 1 species
AAGUCGUAACAAGGUCUCCGUUGGUGAACCAGCGGAGGGAUCAUUACAGAGUUGCAAAACUCCAACAAACCAUCGCGAAUCUUACCCGUACGGUUGCCUCGGCGCUGGCGGUCCGGAAGGCCCUCGGGCCCCCGGAUCCUCGGGUCUCCCGCUCGCGGGAGGCUGCCCGCCGGAGUGCCGAAACCAAACUCUUGAUAUUUUAUGUCUCUCUGAGUAACUUUUAAAUAAGUCAAAA